AUGGAUCUCAUUCCAAACUUUGCCAUGGAAACAUGGGUUCUCGUGGCUACCAGUCUGGUACUCCUCUAUAUUUAUGGGACCCAUUCACAUAAACUUUUUAAGAAGCUGGGAAUUCCUGGGCCAACCCCUCUGCCUUUUCUGGGAACUAUUUUGUUCUACCUUAGGGGUCUUUGGAAUUUUGACAGAGAAUGUAAUGAAAAAUACGGAGAAAUGUGGGACCUUUAGGUCCAAUGGGAUUUCUGAAAAGUGCCUUAAGUUUUGCUGAAGAUGAAGAAUGGAAGAGAAUACGAACACUGCUAUCUCCAGCUUUCACCAGUGUGAAAUUCAAGGAAGUAAGAAAAUAAGGUGAUUUAUAAUUAGAAACUUAAAGGAUGAAUCUGGAGACAGGUAGUAAGUAUCAUCAUAGUUCCUUUCUAAUGGGUAGUCCACUGAGUUUGAGCUUUCUAAAAAGGGUCUUUUCAGCUGGGCACAGUGGCUCAUGCCUGUAAUGCCAGCACUUUGGGAGGCCGAGGUGGGUGGAUCACCUGAGGUUAGGAGAUUGAGACCAGCCUGGCCAACAUGGUGAAACCCCAACUCUACUAAAAAUACAAAAUUUAGCUGGGCAUGGUGGCGGAUGCCUAUAAUCCUAGCUGCUCAGAAGGCUAAGGCAGAAGAAUUGUUUGAAUCUAGAGGCGGAGGUUGCAGUGAGCCAAGAUUGCGCCAUUGCACUCCAGCCUGGGCAACAAGAGCGAAACUCUGUCUCAAAAAACAGGGGCAGGGGGCGGUCUUUUCUAUUUAUGUCCUAGAGGACAUGGUGAGUCAUUACAAAAUGUCAUUUACUGUUCCAUGCUGGGCAAAGCCAUGUCCUUCUGAGACUCGAGUCUGCGUAGUUAACUAUGGGUGGUGUUGUGUUUUAGAUGGUCCCCAUAAUUUCCCAAUGUGGAGAUAUGUUGGUGAGAAGCCUGAGGCAGGAAGCAGAGAACAGCAAGUCCAUCAACUUGAAAGAUUUCUUUGGGGCCUACACCAUGGAUGUAAUCACUGGCACAUUAUUUGGAGUGAACUUGGAUUCUCUCAACAACCCACAAGAUCCCUUUCUGAAAAAUAUGAAGAAGCUUUUAAAAUUGGAUUUUUUGGAUCCCUUUUUACUCUUAAUAUCAUCGAGUAGAUUUCUUUCAACAGAUGAUCGACUCCCAGAAUUCCAAAGAAACAAAGUCCCAUAAAGCUCUGUCUGAUCUGGAGCUUGUGGCCCAGUCAAUUAUCAUCAUUUUUGCUGCCUAUGACACAACUAGCACCACUCUCCCCUUCAUUAUGUAUGAACUGGCCACUCACCCUGAUGUCCAGCAGAAACUGCAGGAGGAGAUUGACGCAGUUUUACCCAAUAAGGCACCUGUCACCUACGAUGCCCUGGUACAGAUGGAGUACCUUGACAUGGUGGUGAAUGAAACGCUCAGAUUAUUCCCAGUUGUUAGUAGAGUUACGAGAGUCUGCAAGAAAGAUAUUGAAAUCAAUGGAGUGUUCAUUCCCAAAGGGUUAGCAGUGAUGGUUCCAAUCUAUGCUCUUCACCAUGACCCAAAGUACUGGACAGAGCCUGAGAAGUUCUGCCCUGAAAGGUUCAGUAAGAAGAACAAGGACAGCAUAGAUCUUUACAGAUACAUACCUUUUGGAGCUGGACCCCAAAACUGCAUUGGCAUGAGGUUUGCUCUCACAAACAUAAAACUUGGUGUCAUUAGAGCACUGCAGAACUUCUCCUUCAAACCUUGUAAAGAGACUCAGAUCCCACUGAAAUUAGACAAUCUACCAAUUCUUCAACCAGAAAAACCUAUUGUUCUAAAAGUGCACUUAAGAGAUGGGAUUACAAGUGGACCCUGA
rnacentral:sRNA from 1 species